rnacentral:rRNA from 1 species
CGUGUAGGCGGUUUGUACAGUCAGAUGUGAAAUCCCCGGGCUUAACCUGGGGGCUGCAUUUGAGACGUGCAGACUAGAGUGUGAGAGAGGGUUGUGGAAUUCCCAGUGUAGAGGUGAAAUUCGUAGAUAUUGGGAAGAACACCGGUGGCGAAGGCGGCAACCUGGCUCAUUACUGACGCUGAGGCGCGAAAGCGUGGGGAGCAAACA